ACAACCUUAAUUGAACAGGAUCUGUUCUAUAGGUUGUACAUCCGGUUCCAUUGACACAAUGAAGACACGCACAACAAUUUGGAAGAUGAUACAAUGCCACAUGGCCAGAGU
rnacentral:snoRNA from 1 species